CGCACAUUGCGCCCCUUGGUAUUCCAUGGGGCAUGCCUGUUCGAGCGUCAUUUACCCCCUCAAGCUCUGCUUGGUGUUGGGCGUCUGUCUCGCCUUUUGUGCGUAGACUCGCCCCAAAAGAAUUGGCAGCAGUCAUGCCAGCCCCUUGCGCAGCACAUGCGCUCUGGAGGCCUUCGCAGACGCGCAUCCACAAAGUUCAUCCACUUUGACCUCGGAUCAGGUAGGGAUACCCGCUGAACUUAA
rnacentral:misc_RNA from 1 species